GUCCGGUAAGACCCCAUUUUGGUCCCAAAAUAUAGCAGUUUUACAAAAUUGUUAAAAUGUAAACUUUAAGCUAUUUAUUGGAAAGUAGAAUGCUUCUGCUACAUGAAUAUGGGCUUUUUUUGACAAUACAGUGCAUAUGUAUCGGGUACUAGCAUCAUGAAGUCAUGCUAAAUUACUGAAAUCUUCAUAAUUUGAGCAUUUUAGUUAAAUUUUAGACGGUUUUCGUCUUAAAUGAAAGUGGCCGCAUUCGUGUUCAUUCUUAAUAUUGAAAUGUAAGUUGUA
rnacentral:lncRNA from 1 species